rnacentral:rRNA from 1 species
AAAAAAGCAAGCGUUGUUCGGAAUUACUAAGCGUAAAGGGCACGUAGACGGUCCCACAAGUCUUUCGUGAAAUCCCACAGCUCAACUGUGGAAUUGCGAAGGAAACUGCGGGACUUGAGUCCGGGAGAAGAGAGUGGAAUUCCCAGUGUAGCGGUGAAAUGCGUAGAUAUUGGAAGGAACACCGGUGGCGAAGGCGGCUCUCUGGACCGACACUGACGCUGAAACGCGAAAGCUAGAAAAGCAAACAGGAUUAGAUACCCCAAUAAUCCUAGCCCUAAACGAUAAACACUUGGUGUAGCAAAUAUCGACCCCUACCGUGCCAAAACUAACGCAUUAAGUGCUCCGCCUAAAAGUACAGUCGCAAGGCUG